UAGGCGUAAAUGAUGCGAGUUAAGUGUGGGGGCAUCUACGAGAUGGCCCUGUGCUGUAGGGUAGCCGUUAAACUCGUUGCCUGGGGAGUACGGUCGCAAGGCUGAAACUUAAAGGAAUUGGCGGGGGGAGCACCACAACGGGUGGAGCUUGCGGUUUAAUUGGAUUCAACGCCGGAAAUCUUACCGGGACCGACAGCAACAUGAAGGCCAGGCUGAAGACUUUGCCGGAUUAGCUGAGAGGAGGUGCAUGGCGUAGUCGUGU
rnacentral:rRNA from 1 species